rnacentral:rRNA from 1 species
CAAGAAUAUUCCACAAUGGACGAAAGUCUGAUGGAGCGACGCCGCGUGCAGGAAGAAGCCCCUCGGGGUGUAAACUGCUUUUAUAGGGGACGAAUUCGUGACGGUACCCUAAGAAUAAGAGGUUGCUAACUCUGUGCCAUCAGCAGCGGUAAUACAGAGACCUCAAACGUUAUCCGGAUUCAUUGGGCGUAAAGCGUCCGCAGGUGGUCUUAUAAGUUGGUGGUUAAAUCCUGGGGCUUAACUUCAGGACUGCUGUCAAAACUGUAAGACUUGAGGGUGGGAGAGGUAAUCGGAACUGCCGGUGUAGUCGUAAUAAGCGCUGAUAUCGGCAGGAACACCAAAGGCGAAGGCAGAUUACUGGAACACACCUGACACUCAUGGACGAAAGCGUGGGGAGCGAAUA